GCAGGAGGUGACUCCAUCGCUGCGACCUGUGUCGCAGAGGAAAGUCCGGACAGCAUAGGGCAUCCUGCUUCCUAACGGGAAGGCGCCAUGAGCGAAAGCUUAUGGUGACAGCCAGUGCCACAGAAAAUAUACCGCCCCGGCUUACGGCCAGGGUAAGGGUGAAAAGGCGGGGUAAGAGCCCACCAGUGGCUGGGUGACCAGCCAGCUUGGUAAACCUCAGGAGCUGAAAGGCCAAAUAUACCGGCGUUUGAAGGUGGCCCGCCUGAUGCCGGAGGGUAGGCCGAAAGAGCUUGCUGGCGACAGCAAGCCCAGAUAAAUGAUGGAGCUCCCCAUGUGGGGAGAACAGAAUCCGGCUUAUGAUCCUCCUGCCAUA
rnacentral:RNase_P_RNA from 1 species